rnacentral:lncRNA from 1 species
GGCAAUACCUGAAGAAGGCUAGCAGAGAUAGAGGAUCUAAUGUCUCCACUUAUUUCUCAUUGUCGUGUCCAUUUGUUAACAUCAAUUUGGACCAGCAAAACCACACAAGUGAUAAAGCCAUCCAUUCAUGAAGAAUGUCAUACAAGUGUUGAAGGAAAACCACACAAGAGAGAACACAGUCCUGUUUGUAUAAGAGUUUUACUCAACGUGUAAAACAGUAGCCAAACUAUCCGCCUUGCAACACAAUUUACCGAAGUUCCCGUUAUGUUCCUUCAGUCAGACACAAUUUCUGGUAGUUGGAACACUGUACAAGUCAAACCAACCGAAACUAGAUGCUUGGAUUCUCACCAUAUCAAUUUAUCCAUGUAAAAUCCCAGCAUCAUGCAGAAAC